rnacentral:rRNA from 1 species
ACUCCUACGGGAGGCAGCAGUCGAGAAUCUUCGGCAAUGGACGCAAGUCUGACCGAGCGACGCCGCGUGUGGGAUGAAGGCCUUCGGGUUGUAAAGGUCUUUUAUCGGGGACGAAGUUUAUUGACGGUACCCGAUGAAUAAGGGGCUCCUAACUCUGUGCCAGCAGCCGCGGUAAU